rnacentral:rRNA from 1 species
CCUAACACAUGCAAGUCGAGCGGAAACGAGUUAUCUGAACCUUCGGGGAACGAUAACGGCGUCGAGCGGCGGACGGGUGAGUAAUGCCUAGGAAAUUGCCUUGAUGUGGGGGAUAACCAUUGGAAACGAUGGCUAAUACCGCAUAAUGCCUACGGGCCAAAGAGGGGGAUCUUCGGGCCUCUCGCGUCAAGAUAUGCCUAGGUGGGAUUAGCUAGUUGGUGAGGUAAUGGCUCACCAAGGCGACGAUCCCUAGCUGGUCUGAGAGGAUGAUCAGCCACACUGGAACUGAGACACGGUCCAGACUCCUACGGGAGGCAGCAGUGGGGAAUAUUGCACAAUGGGCGCAAGCCUGAUGCAGCCAUGCCGCGUGUAUGAAGAAGGCCUUCGGGUUGUAAAGUACUUUCAGCAGUGAGGAAGGGGGUGUCGUUAAUAGCGGCAUCUCUUGACGUUAGCUGCAGAAGAAGCACCGGCUAACUCCGUGCCAGCAGCCGCGGUAAUACGGAGGGUGCGAGCGU